GGGGGGCUGGCGCAACGGUAGCGCGUCAGAUUCCAGAUCUAACCCCUGGAGCAUCCUGAAGGUUACCGGUUCAAAUCCGGUGUCCCUCA